AAACCCAGCCUAGAUGAGAAGUGC
rnacentral:siRNA from 1 species